AAGACCAUAGCCCAAAUCACUUGAAUCGCCCAAAUCUCCUGCAUUGCCCACCACAACCCUCAUUGUCAGCAACAAAGCUUGCAAUAACAAUCUUGUAAAGAUUAGCUUCAACUCAAAGGUAUGGCUCUCUCACACUAUCACAAGUCUUAAUUGAUUCAUGGAUUAUUAUUGAUAGAAUAGCAGCACUAGGAUAUGUAUUGGCACGAACAAUUCAAAGUUUUUUUAAAGAUUAAUACUUGUAAAAUAUGACACAUUAGGUGUUUGUUAAAAUGCGUCUAAGAAUUUUUUAAUUAUCUCAAUAAUUUUGCAGAGUUAUUCCCUAAUUAUUGCCCCUUUAAUACCAAAAAAGUUACUAAGAUGAAUUUUAAACUUAUUUCAUUUUUUUUUCACAUCUUAGCACUGGUUUUGGGUGAAAUGAGAGCGAUGACUACUAUUGCCAAUGCUCCAUUGCCUACUUUGACAUGAACAAUAGAAUCUAUCGCCUUGAUGUCUCAAAUGUAUAUUUUUUUAUUUGUUUAAAUAUUAUUAUAAUAUUUGUCAUAUCAAAGGAGCUUAAGCUUGUAGAGACGGCAUCAAAGGGGCUUAGAUUGUAACCUUAGGUGAUGUAAUUACAAUACAAGAGUUUUUUCAUAGUUUAUCCAAUCAGAGUUCAUACAUAUAAUAACAUUCACUAUCCAAUCAGAGUUUUUUCAUAGUUUAUCCAACUCUUGCCCAACUCUUGUAG
rnacentral:lncRNA from 1 species